AUGGAUGAAGCAUCUCAGAAUCUGAUUUUUGCUUUAGAGUUUUCUUCUGACUACUGGAGAAGAGAUUUGUGGAUGGAGGAGGCCUGGAGUAUUCCUGUAGGAAGCAGGAGGGUCAUCUGGACUGGAGAAGGAGACUCGGUGUUGAUCCGUGAGAGCGGAAGCCAUGACGUCAUCAGAAAGAAUGUCAAAGAAACUGGGACAAGAAGAAUUAACAUCUAAUAUUUAACAUUUAUUGACUUGGACUAAGCCCCGUGUCAGGUAAUUGAAAGAUAUACUUUCUUAUUUUGCUUUUGCAACAGUCCCGGGAGGUGGGAUCAUCACCUCCAUCUUGCAUGGAGGGGAAUCACAUAUGGAGAGGUCGAUAAAUGACCCCAAGUCAGGGAUUACGGACGGGUUUGCUCCUGACUCCAGCCUUCUUGUGAAUGAACGCUCUUGUAUUUGACAAACACUUUAGGAUUU
rnacentral:lncRNA from 1 species